UCUCUCUCUCUCUCUCUCUCUCUUUUAAAUUUUGGUUCCCUCCUUACCCAAUUAUCCAUUACAAACCCUGGUUUUGUCUUUCUCUUCAUUUCUCUUUCACUUUUCAUUCCCUUCUUCAUCUCUACCCUUUUCCUUCUCCUUCUCCUUCUCCCACUCUCCCUUCCCUUCUUCAUCUCUACCCCAUCUAUCUUCCUUCCUGAAUGAGUCUCUUUGUCGCCAUUCAUUCAUUCACGUUUCUUUAGAUCUGACCGUUAACCAGCCUCGUCAGUAUGACAGUUACAAGUUUUGGGGCAGAUUCGGCUGGCUGCCGGUCUCGGUAACACGGUAGCAGGUCUUCUGUGUCUUUUUGUUUGCGUUGUCCUUGUGGGUUUUCGUCGGGUUUCUGUUUGGGUAAGAAUUUGGUUAAUCCUUUUCGCUCUUGACAUUUAAAGGACGAAUUGAAGUUUUUGGAAGAAAUUGAGGUGAUGUUCAGCAGGUGUUGGGGAUCCAUUUUGGUGAAAAUUGGUUGUGGAAUCCAAGUUUGUAUUUCAAGUCAAGACCAUCUUAAACCACUGAGUUUCAAGCUUCCUUAAUUAAGUUUGUCUCUUCAAUUAGAAUUGUAAUGUUGUAAUUUUUUGAAUAGUUGGAUUGGUCUUGUAAUUUUGAAAUUAUCAUAUUAAUUGAUUUGAAAUUGAUAGAGAUAUUAUCGUAAA